GCCCCCUUAGCUCAGUUGGUAGAGCGUCGCACUCGUACGUAAGCAUGUUAUGCUUGAUCUUGGAAUGCGAAGGUCAGUCGUUCGACUCGGCUAGUGGGCA